rnacentral:lncRNA from 1 species
GACAACUUCCCUUCUAAUUUAUUCCCACCUAUUUUGAGUGACCUUAGUCGAGUGGCUUGAAGGAAAUCAAUGGAUAGUUCACCAGAAAACUGGUUUGAAGCAAUGUCCAACACAUCCAAAGUUGGGAAAACAAAUCUAUGUUUAAUUUGACCAUAAAAUCUGUUUUCCCGCAAUAUUAGAACCGUCAAGUAAGGCAAUUUCUCCAACCAAAAAGGGAACGUAUCAUUCAUCUUGUUGUUUCCCACGUCCAAAACUUCAAGCUGAGUGCAUUCAGCUAAUGAUCUGGGCAACUUCCCUUCCAAUCUAUUCUCACUAACUUUGAGAAUAUAUAAGUGGGUUGCUUUUGAAAAUUUUGGUAACAUUCCACUGAAGUUAUUUCCUUGCAGAUCCAACAAAUAGAGAUCAUUCAUUUUGCCUAAGCAAUUUGGAAUCUUGCCGCUCAAAUUGUUAUGAGAUGCAUUGAAAUUUAUAAGUUGACUCAAAUUGCAAAUAGGUCUAGCCAAGGAGGUUUGUGAAGAAGUUGAACUCUGAUUGGGUAAAAGUUGGUCCAAAGAUGAGAUAUGGUUAUUUGCAAGAUUGAGAACACGCAAACUUUUCUUCCACACCCAGUUUGGUAUUGCACCACUUAUUUUAUUAUUUGAAAGUUCAAGAUGUCCUAUAUUUUCUUGACUCUUUAAGAACUCCGGAAAUGCGCUUAAGUUACAAGAUUCCAGAGACAAUUCCCUCAACAUUGGGAAAGAGAAGUUUGAAUCACUUAAAGUAAGUUGUUUUGGAAAAUCAAUCACAUUGAAAGAAAGGUGUAAGGAUGAAAGGCUGCUCUUCCACAACCAAUUAGGCACAACACCAUGGAUAUGAUUGUUAGAAAGAUCUAAGUCAACCAACUUGUCUUGCCUUUUAAUGAAUUCUGGAAAUUCAGUAAGGUUGCAUGACAUUAGCCAUAGGGUCUCUAAUUGGGGAAAAGUAAGACUUCUGUUGUCGCUUUCAAUUAACAAACUUACUUUGGAUAAUUCGAGAUCCUUUAAGUUCUUAAGUUGGACAAACAUGUCAAGCUUCAUGGAACUGAAGCUAUUGCCUCCGAUAUAAAGCCCUUCAAGCCUUGGAAGUUGGAGGAUUGACUUCGGGAUUGUUCCUGUUAAAUAAUUAUUGCCUAUAUGUAAUUCUUGAAUCAAAGAAGAAGAUGCAUAGGGGAACUCAUCAAUUUUCCCAACCAAUUGAUUUUCUCCAAGAUACAAGAUCUUCAACGAUGGAAGAGUAAAUAAAGAAGAAUGUAUUGAUCCAGAAAGCUUGUUUGACCUUAGAUCCAAGUUCACCAGGUGACUAAGAUUUGCAAUUGACGAUGGAAUGGGUCCAAAAAAAUUGCAACUAAACAGCUUCAAAUUAGUCAAGAAUUUGAGAUUACCAAUUGAUUGAGGUAGUUUUCCACUGAAAUUUGUAUAAAAAAGCGACAAACUCUGUAAAGCAUUGUUUGCUGGAAAUUCUGGCAACUGACCCAUAAGUUGGUCAUUCAAUGAAAUGUCAACGCUUUGAAUUUGUGGCAAUAAGAGAAUUCCGGUUGGAAAUUGCCCAUUCAAAUUGCAGUUCCUCAAACUGAGAGAAACCAAACGAGAGGAAAUUUCCAAGAAAUUGGGAGGUAAAUAAGAGAUUGGGUUCCAAUCAAGGAUAAGUUUGGAAAGAAAAGAGAGUCUUGAGAGUGAAGAACAUAAUGGACCUUUCAAGCCACAGUUUGACAGACUCAACACACGCAGGUUGGAAAGUACAAGAGAUGUGGUUUCACACCAUUUAGCACUUUGAGAUGAAAUGUUUACCCCAUCCAAAUAAAGCUCUGUGAGAAACCUCAAAUUCUUGAUUAAUGUCUUGAAGUUUGGAUUCUCUAAUUUAAGAGGCUGUUGAAGUUCGUAAGGCAAUGGAUAGUAGUAGUAGACGCCUCUAUAUGGGUCAAGAAUGGUGUAGUAUCGCAAAUAACAGGAAUAUUGAUUGGAUAGAUCAAGAGAGACUAACCUUUUUAAGAAUGAGAUCUCCACUGGAAUUUGGCCAUGGAAACAUGAGCUUGAAAGGUUGAGAUGAGUUAGAUUUUGGAGUUUAUCAAACCCAUAGGAAAACAGAGUGGUAUUAAAGUUGUUUCCAGCAAGAUUAAGGUGUUGAAGAUGAUGGAGAUCGAAUAUGGAGUGGAAGCUGCCUGAAAGGUUUUUGUAACUAAGACCAAUGCCAACGACAUGGCCAUAAGCAUCACAAGUGACUCCUUCCCAAGAACAACAAUCAGUGUUGGGGUCCCAGAGGUCAAAUUUGGAAGAGAAAGUAAAAUUAGGGGCAUAGUAAAGAUGAUGCUGCAAUUGCAGCAGAGGAGCUCUCUGGUCAUCAAGGCAUUGCAUUGGGAGAUGAGUUUGAGGAGGUGAAAAAGACAAGAGAAGAGGAAGGAAGCAUGAGGAGAGAAAGAGUGAAGAAAUAAGGGAAUGAAGAGUGUUCAUGUUGGGUGGGUGUGAAGGAGGAUUGUGUCUGGCAUACAACAUAUUUAUACACAAAUAUGUAGUUUCCAUAGAACAAUAUUUAUGGGUGAUUGGCAUUGCAUGCAAUUUGUAAGUCAUUUUGCCAAAUCAAUAGUCCAUCAAAAUACCGUUCCACCACUUUAGUUAAGUCUUUUUGGUCAACUUUUUCCAACAUAUUAAAGCAAGGGAUAAUAAUGUAUUAUUUAAAGCUGUUAGUGAUGAUGCAUAAAUGAUUUAUUGUUAGUAUUAGAAAUAAGUUGUUAAAUUCACACUUAAUUUGCCUUACGUCUUUCUUUUUUUUCAUUUUAAUUUUAAAGAAAUGAGAUUUUAAUAUUUGAUCGAUCUCAUUAUUUUUUAAAAUUUGACUCGAACGAAUUCCAUCUCAUUCGACUUGAUUCCAGAAAAUUUCAAAUUAAAUUAGGAUGAUAAAAUAUGAUUCGUCAACUUGAUUAACUCGAAAUUUUUCAAUUCGAUUCCAUUAGAUCGAACACUCACCCCUAAUUGCAUGAAAGUAAUGUUCAACCACUUUGUUUAAUUCAAGUCAUUAAAAUAUCAAGUAGUGGAAAUUUCUAAGUCUUUGAUAUGCAUGCAAAAUUCUAAGUCUUUAUAACUGCAUGCCAAUAAUAAUGAUGAUGAUGAUGUAGUACCAAUUUGAUUAAGAAAGGUCAUUAAAAAAAAAGAAAUAAUGGUAAUUUUUUAAUAAAACAAUUUACUAUUGAAUUUUUUAAGUAAAAUUUGGUAUAAGACCCAAAAAUGAUAUAAAAUUGAUUCCUUGAACAUAUAUAAACAUUAUCGUUGAUACAAGAAAAUUUUAAUACUUAUAAAAAAAUGAUAAUAUGAGAUAUUAUUGGCUUUAAUCUUAGUCGUUGGCAUUGCAUGCAGAUGCAAAUGUUAAAAGUCUUUUUGCCAUAUCAUUAAUGCAUGAAAACUAUGUUGAACCACUUUGUUGAACACUUAUUCUUCUUAUUCAUGCCAGGUUUCAAUCUUCUUGUCGACUCUUUAUUCUAUAUAAAUAAUUUUCUAAUUUUAUUUUUCUUAAAUUUAAAUCAUUAAAAAAUAAAAUUAUAGCAAUAAUAAUGUCCUUUAAACGUCAUUAGAGCCAUGAUUACACGUAGAAUGAACAAAGAUGAUAAUUCAACGGAUAUUUUUGUUCUAACUUCACUUGCAAUAAUGGUUGAAGUGGUUGCCUACCCUAUUCUGUUGUUCCAAUAGGGUCGGAAGCGUGUAAAUUAUUGUACUAAAAAAUCACACAAAGUUCAAUUCCCAGAGAAGAGAGGUGGAUCACAAGGAUCUCUUAAAUACCAAGUCUUUCCUUAGUCAGAAUAUCCCUUUUAUAGUAAUUUAAUAGCACAAUUAAAUAGUACUAUUAUACCCUCAAAUAUUGAAAGAAAAAUAGGACAAGAAAGAACACAAGAGUUUUAACGAGGUUCGGUAAAUUAUACCUACGUCCUCAGGCACUAACACUAGAUGAUAACUUUACUAUCUCCAAAAUAUUACAAACAAAUAGAAUUCCUUAAGAAUUCUCAAAUGGGAGAAGAGAGAAAACUAAGAGAGAAAGAUUGGUUGGGAUGAAUUGAAAUGAGAAAUGAGAAGGCCUAUUUAUAGUUGAGGUUCAAGGACCAAACAAUAAAUAGCCCAUUAUCUCAAAGACCAAAAAAAAAUUAUCCCUUGCCACUUUUCCAAAGUUGGUGGUUGUCAUUAUUGAUUGUCUCCCAUUAAUGUUAAUGGCAACCAUUAUUAAUUGUCUUCCAUUAAUGUUAACAAUCUCCACCUUGAAGAUUUGAUUAGGAUAAUCACAUCUUCACACACUUCCUUUAACUCCUCAAAUUCGAUAAAGCUAUUUUUUGUAGUGCCUACAAAUGCGCUCUCGAGCGCCAUACACCUGAAGGUGCUCAAAUUCUCAGGAUGUUAAUCAAGUUCAAACAAUGAUUAAACUUGAUUGUUGUUACCACCUUGGUCAUCAUAUCUGCGGGAUUAUCUGCUGUCGGAAUCUUCUGAAGUAGAAUUUUUCCUUUUUCAAAGACUUCCCGCACAAAGUGAUAUCUUACGUCGAUAUGCUUGGUUCUUGAAUGAUAGACUUGAUUUUUCGCUAAAUGAAUAGCGCUCUGACUGUCACAAUAUAAACUUAUGUGACUUUGAACAACUCCUAAGUCUUUCAACAAUCCAUUAAGCCAAAUAGCCUCCUUAACAGCUUCUGUAACUGCCAUAUAUUCUGCCUCUGUAGUAGACACAGCUAUUGUAGACUGUAAGGUAGACUUCCAACUCACUGGGGCUUUCGCAAGAGUAAACAGAUACCCCGUAGUUGAACGACAUUUAUCUAAAUCACCAGCAAAGUCGGAAUCAACAUAUCCAACUACAAACUGACCAAGUGCUUCAUCCUGUUCAAAAAUUAAACCAACAUCUACGGUUUUUCGAAGAUACCGUAGAAUCUAUUUCACAGCUUGCCAAUGUCCUUUUCCAGGAUCAUGCAUAUACCUGCUCACAACUCCAACAGCUUGUGAAAUGUCAGGCCUCGUACACACCAUCGCAUACAUCAAACUCCCAACUGCAUUAGCAUAUGGGACUUUCGCCAUAUAUUCUCUUUCAUCUUCAGUCUUCGGAGAUAAUUGAGCACUAAGUUUCAAAUGAGAAGCAAGUGGGGUACUUACAUGUUUUGUGUUUUCAUUUACACCAAAACAUUGUAAUACCUUUUUCAGAUAUUGCUUCUGAUUCAAACAAAGCUUGCCUCUCUGUCUAUCUCUACUUAUCUCCAUGCCGAGAAUCUUCUUGGCCUCACUUAGAUCUUUCAUCUCGAACUCUUGAUUCAACUGAGCCUUCAGCUUAUCUAUCUCAUUUUGGCUCUUCGAAGCGAUUAACAUAUCAUCAACAUACAAGAGUAGAUAAAUCAAAGAUCCGUCAUGCAGCUUCUGCAAAUAUACACAAUUGUCAUAUUUGCUUCUUGUGUACUUCUGCCUUCUCAUAAAGCUAUCAAAUCGCUUGUACCACUGCCUCGGGGAUUGCUUCAAUCCAUAUAACGAUUUGUUAAGCUUACAAACUCAAUUUCUACCACCAGCAUUUGUGUAUCCUUCGGGCUGAGUCAUAUAGAUCUCCUCUUCUAACUCACCAUGCAAGAAAGCCGUCUUAACAUCAAGUUGAGCUAGCUCCAAAUUCAACUGUGCUACCAAGGCCAACAAAAUUCUAAUGGAGGAAUGCUUCACAACAGGGGAAAAUACAUCAUUGUAGUCAAUUCCCUCCUUCUGAGCAUAGCCUUUAGCUACCAAUCUUGCCUUGUAGCGAAUAUCCUUCUUGCUAGGAGAUCCAUCUUUCUUUGCGAAUACCCACUUGCAUCCGAUUGCCCUUUUACCUUUCGGUAAUUGCGCCAACUCCCAAGUAUUGUUCUUCCGGAGAGACUGCAUUUCUUCAUCCAUGGCGCUUUUCCAUUUAUCACUUUCUAAGCUUUGCAUUGCUUCUUGAUAAGUGAUAGGAAUAUCAUCAACAACGGGAAGGGCGUAGGCCACCAUAUCAGUAAAUCGAGCAGGUUUACGAAUUUCUCUCCGUAGCCUUGCAACUGCAACUGGUUUUGGUGUACUUAGUGGUUCUUGGGUCAGAACCUCUUCAACCUCUAAUUCCUCCAUUGUGGCUGGAGAAUUAGACUUAUUAACUGGGCAAAUCCCCAUCUGCUCAAACUCCACCUGUUUUGGAGUACACUCCACCUGCUGUGGAGUAUUGCUCGUCUGAAUAUCUUUAUCUGCUACCUUUUUCAAUGUGGCAGAUUCAUCAAAGGUAACAUCUCUGCUACAGAUCAUUUUCUUUGUGCUUAAGCACCAAAGACGAAAUCCCUUCACUCCAGAAGUGAUUCCCAUAAAGAGAGCUUUCUUUGCCCUCGGAUCUAACUUUGACUCCUUUACAUGGUAAUAUGCAGUGGUUCCAAACACAUGUAAGGAAUCAUAAUCUGUAACCGGUUUUCCAGACCAUACCUCCAUAGGAGUUUUUCUUUCUAAUGCAGAUGAUGGCAAACGAUUAACAAGAUGGCCAGCGUAUGUCACAGCCUCAGCCCAAAAUUGCUUGCCCAACCCAGCAUUGGACAACAUACAUCGAACUUUCUCCUGUAAUGUUCGAUUCAUACGCUCUGCCACUCCAUUCUGCUGUGGUGUAUCCCUAACUGUGAAGUGUCGAACAAUACCAUACUCUUGGCACACAUCGAAGAACGGAUCACUUUUAUAUUCCCCUCCAUUGUUCGUCCUAAGCCGCUUGAUUUUCUUGCCAGUCUGGUUUUCGAUCAUAGUUUUCCAUUUAAGAAAAACUCUAAGCACUUCAUCCUUAGUUCUCAUGGUAUACACCCAAACUCUUCUGGAAAAGUCAUCAAAAAAAGUAACAAAGUAGUGUUUUCCUCCCAAUGAAGGUGUCUUGGAAGGCCCCCACACAUCUGAGUGAACAUAUUCGAAAAUACCUUUUGUAUUAUGGAUAGCAGUACCGAAUUUCACUCUCUUUUGCUUUCCCAGAACACAAUGCUCGUAAAAUUUUAAUUUGUAAGCCUUUGCACCUUUCAACAAUCCUUGCUUUGCCAGAAAUUGCAAGGAUUUUUCGUUGGCAUGUCCCAACUUCAUAUGCCACAACUGUAUUGAGUCCAAUUCUUUGUUGCCGGAAGCUGCAGCGACUGCUCCAAUAACUGUACUACCUUGGUAGUAAUACAAGUUAUUUUUCCUGAUGCCCUUCAAUAUCACACGUGCGCCAGAUGUCACUUUCAAAACCCCAUCUCUCAUAGUAACAACUGAACCAUUGGAUUCCAAGGCUCCCAAUGAGAUGAGAUUUUUCUUCAAACUGGGCACGUACCGAACAUCAGUCAGAACUCUGGUUGAUCCAUCUUGAUUCUUUAAUUGGAUUGAACCUAUCCCAACAGUUUUACAGGCAUUGUCAUUGCCCAUAUAAACAACUCCUCCAUUUAGUUCUACAAAAUCAGAGAACCACUCCCAGUUAGGGGACAUAUGAAAGGUACAACCCGAAUCCAAUAUCCACUCAUCUGAAUAGAACGACGAUGAUGAUGCAACCAGUGAUAGUUCAGAGUCACUAGUAUCAUGCUUUGCAACACAAGCAUCUACAGUAGCUUUUCCCUUAUUCUUCAGCUUUGGACAAUUUUUCUUCCAGUGGCCUUUCUCAUGACAAAAGGCACAUUCAUCUUUCCCGAGUCUGGACUUUGACUUUGAUCUCCCCUUUUGAGUUUUCUUCUGAGUGUAUGAACGACCUCGGACUACUAAAGCUUCUGUAUCUCUGAUUGAGUUUUUCUGUUUGUCCUUCUUUCUCUGUUCAUAACUGUAUAAGGCCGCACAGACUUCGCUCAGAGAUAUAUCACUCCUGCCAUGAAGUAGAGUAGUUUCUAGGAACUCAAACUCCUCAGGAAGUGACCCCAACAGCAUCAAAGCCAAAUCUUCAUCUUUGAAUGUCUCAUCCAUAUUCAGCAAAUCAAUGACUAACUGAUUAAAUUUGGUGAUGUGAUCAUUCAUUGUGGUACUUGGGACGUAUGUGAAGCGAAACGUCUUUUCUUCAAGUGGAGCUUAUUUUGACUGUUUUUCUUCAAAAAAUUUUCUUCAAGUGCCACCCACAACUUAUUUGCAAAAGUCUCCUUUGAAAAAGCAUACCUCUGCUCUCAAGAAAGGCAUGAUCGAAUUGUGCCACAUGCCAACCGAUUGAUCGCUUUCCAAUCUUUCUCCUGUACCCUGUACAUCAUCUAGUUUCUCUUCAUCAAUGGCAAUGUCUAGACCCUGCUGAAAAAGGGCAUUUAGAACCUCAUUUUGCCACAUACCAAAAUGGCCCGUGCCAUCAAAGAUCUCCACGGCCAGUCUUGCAUUUGCAAUUGUCGGUCUUGUCCACAUGGACGAUGUUGAAGCUCCUACACCGACCGUUUUCUCCAUAAUCUUUCAAUAUACCUAAGGAAAUCUUUUAUGAUGUGGAAGAUCAGUUCAAACUGCAACCACAGAGCAUACUACGAUUAACCUUCGGCUCUGAUACCACUUGUUGUUCCAAUAGGGUCGGAAGCGUGUAAAUUAUUGUACUAAAAAAUCACACAAAGUUCAAUUUCCAGAGAAGAGAGGUGGAUCACAAGGAUCUCUUAAAUACCAAGUCUUUCCUUAGUCAGAAUAUCCCUUUUAUAGUAAUUUAAUAGCACAAUUAAAUAGUACUAUUAUACCCUCAAAUAUUGAAAGAAAAAUAGGACAAGAAAGAACACAAGAGUUUUAACGAGGUUCGGUAAAUUAUACCUACGUCCUCGGGCACUAACACCAGAUGAUAACUUUACUAUCUCCAAAAUAUUACAAACAAAUAGAAUUCCUUAAGAAUUCUCAAAUGGGAGAAGAGAGAAAACUAAGAGAGAAAGAUUGGUUGGGAUGAAUUGAAAUGAGAAAUGAGAAGGCCUAUUUAUAGUGGAGGUUCAAGGACCAAACAAUAAAUAGCCCAUUAUCUCAAGGACCAAAAAAAAAUUAUCCCUUGCCACUUUUCCAAAGUUGGUGGUUGUCAUUAUUGAUUGUCUCCCAUUAAUGUUAAUGGCAACCAUUAUUAAUUGUCUUCCAUUAAUGUUAACAUACUCAGCACCAAAAACAUGUCAUCUACCUAAUCAGUCACACCUUCUCCUAUACGCACAUUAAAACCAAUAUUAUUGAUUGUAAAGCAUUCCGUUGUCAAGAUUUAUGACCAUAGACCUAACCAUAAUACUCAAUAAAUUCGCCAACACCACCAUGACCAUGUUUCCUCAACAUUGGCGUUAGAGUCAAAACCAGAUUGGUUUCUGUUACACCGUCUCGAAAUUUCCCAGACAACAUGAAUCCAACGACACAGGGCUAUAGGCUGCUGAAUUUUGAAAAUUGAAAUUUUGUAUUGAAUUUCACUUCUAAGUUUUGGUUUUACAAAAGUUUAGGAUAAUGUCAAUAAUUUUGCAUGCUUCGACCACUACUGCCCACAAUCAGUGCUCCAUGGACUAUACUAUAACAGGCUUUGCGUGCUUCAUAUUACUACCUUUUUAGCCACAAUGAGAAGGCCAGCAUAUAUAAAAUUCAGCUCAAUUGAUGGACCUUUGGUCGAAAAUAGGUUAUCAUACCAAUUUAAACGCAAUAAUAGGACAUAUAGUCUAUUAAAUCUUGUUAGCAUCAUAAUAUUGUUAGCAUCAACAUCUUCGCCUCUGAAACGAACUUUCUUGGGGAUCAACUCCUCAGAAAUAGAUUUCUCAUUUUCAGAAUUUUUAGAGAGAGAGCUCAUCUUUUUGUUCCAAAUUUCUAAAUUUUGAUUGCACAAAAAUAACAUUCAACCAUUGUGUACAAGUGAAGUCAUACUAUAAAGACAAAAUUAUAGUAAAUUUGUUAGCUGGUUGAGAUGGAUUGAUGGACACAAGGAGUGGAAAUUUUCUUAAAGUGUUUUUGGGUGAAGUUUGGAGAAAGACUUUCAUUUUUAUAUUAUUUUUUAAUUUUUAUUUAAUUUAAAUAUUUUUUAUGUUUUAUAUUUAAUUUUUAUGUUUUAUAUUAUUAAAUAUAAAAUAUAAAAAUAUUUAUAAGUCAAGUUUCGAGUUAAAUUUUAAAAUUUGAAUAACUCGAAUAAUUUGAUUAAUUCAUACAACAGACUCAUUUGAUCCCUAUUAAUUUUGAAACUUAAAAAUUUUAUCUCUCAACAAAACUUUAAAAUAUUCAUAAAAAUUCCAAAAUUUAUAUUUUGGGUUGAUUGAAAAUGAUGAUCACAGAUUAGUUGAAAUGUCUUAUAAUAUUAGCUACUUUUCAAUCCUUUACACUUUCAAAGUUUGUCCAACCAAUUGAAAUGCAACCACCAUAUAGUUUCUUCAGUCCAAAAGUAGAUUCUUUUUAUCGGUGAUUUACAUAAUUAAUUUGUAUUCUCUUCAAUUAUUUUCUUUCUUUCUUUCUUUUUACAUGAACAAAGAUAAAAUCAUAAUUGGAUUAAGUCGGGUCAGGUCAUUCCAGAGCAAUAAUCAUAUAACUUUUAAAGAAAUUUAGCCAAGGGUUGCAUAUAACUAUACAUGCCUAGACGCCUUGAAAAUAUCAUUGCUUUCAGUCCAUCGACUUCUCAAUUACCUUAUUUGAAUACAUGUGUCACCUUAAUCAUCCAAAGACGUUGAAUAAUUUUUUUAAUAGUUCGUAACACAGCUGAAUGGUGGAACUCAACUGAUCAUCUUGAAUCAAUUAGAUUGUAAUCAUAUUAUUCAUCUCAAGUACAAUUCAUUGAAAAUUUAUCUCUAAGUAAUUUAAAAUCCCUCCUAAACUCUACAAAGCUCGACAUUGAGUGUAGAACAACUCAAUGUAUUUAGAGACAAAGCUCAUAGCUUUAUUUUGGAAAUUAUAUGUUUUUAGUGUAGAACUAACAGAGAAACGAUAGUAUGCAUGGGUUGUUAUAUACAAUUGCACAUUAAAUUAAAGUUUAUAUAUAAUUUUUUUCUUACAUUAAUAACUGAAAAAUAUAUAUAUUUAAGCCCCUUCUAAUCCAAGACGAUUGUACUCUCAAAUAACCCGAUUGCCGGGGUUGCUAGUUUCCUUAAAAACCACAGAAAUAUAUAAAUCAAGUAAUAGAGAAGCAGUGCAAUUUCAACACAAUUUGAAAAAGAUUGAACUUUUUAAACUUUCUUGGUUUAAUUGAAAAAUGAAUUAGUGGAGAUGUGUUGGACGCUUUUCAUUUCUUUCAAAAAACUACUUCCAAAAUAUAUCUAUUUUUUCAAACCAAAUAGGAUUAAAGAGUUUGUUGACCGCUGACGGCGCCGUCGUUCACGUUGGCCAGAAAAAAUAAAAAUUUUCUUUUUUUCUUUUGUCUCUCUAUCGGCCUCCCAAGCUUAGAUCUACCGAUCACUGUCCAAAAAGGUAAGAAAGUUUUGAUUUUUUCCUUUUUUUGUUUCUUAUAUAUAUAUAUAUAUAUUCAAAAUAAAUAAAUAAUGCCUACCGGCUAAUUUUGAAACAAGAAUUCUGAUGGGAGUCACCUACAUCUUCUUCUAUUUCUUUUCCCACACUUUUUGAACUUAUCAACCCAUUUGUUUCCCAACUCAUCCAGCAUUCUAUAUCCAGCUCAUUUACUUUCCCUCAAACUUUUACUUCUCACCCUUUACUCCUAAAUAAAAAAAUUAAAAUUAUCCAAAAAAAUCCCUUAAACAUAAAUAGUAAUACUUUUAUUUAUAUCUGCUAUUUAUAUUAUUAAAUUAAAUUUCACAUUUUAUAUUAUUUAUAUUAUUAAAUUGUUUAGUCAUAUUGAAUAUUUAUAUUAAAUUUGAAUUAUUAAUGAUGCCAUAAAAUAUUCAUGUUAAAAUUUUAUGUUGGUAUCAAUUUCACAUUUUAUCUUUAAAAUAACUUUUAUUAAAAAAAAUCACAUUUUUACAUUUAAUAUAUUUUUUAAUUCCAAAAUACAUAGUGACAAGAAUCUGAAGAUAAUUGAAACAACUAAGCAAGCAAAGAAGCUAACCCAUAUAUAAAAGAUUAAAAUAUAAAUUAUGAGGUGAUGUAAGUUAAUAAAAAAUUUGAUUAUGGUAGACAAAUUUUAUUACGGUGGGUGACAAAGGUUACAACGACCCAAAUUUUUUUUAAAAUUUGACUCGAACGAAUUCCAUCUCAUUCGACUUGAUUCCAGAAAAUUUCAAAUUAAAUUAGGACGAUAAAAUAUGAUUCGUCAACUUGAUUAACUCGAAAUUUUUCCAUUCGAUUCGAUUCGAUUCCAUUCAAUCGAACACUCACCCGUAAUUGCAUGAAAGUAAUGUUCAACCACUUUGUUUAAUUCAAGUCAUUAAAAUAUCAAGUAGUGGAAAUUUCUAAGUCUUUGAUAUGCAUGCAAAAUUCUAAGUCUUUAUAACUGCAUGCCAAUAAUGAUGAUGAUGAUGAUGUAGGACCAAUUUGAUUAAGAAAGGUCAUUAAAAAAAAAGAAAUAAUGGUAAUUUUUUUAAUAAAACAAUUUACUAUUGAAUUUUUUAAGUAAAAAUUGGUAUAAGACCCAAAAAUGAUAUAAAAUUGAUUCCUUGAACAUAUAUAAACAUUAUUGUUGAUACAAUAAAAUUUUAGUACUUUGUACUUAUAAAAAAAUGAUAAUAUGAGAUAUUAUUGGCUUUAAUCUUAGUGGUUGGCAUUGCAUGCAGAUGCAAAUGUUAAAAGUCUUUUUGCCAUAUCAUUAAUGCAUGAAAACUAUGUUGAACCACUUUGUUGAACUCUUAUUCUUCUUAUUAAUGCCGGGUUUCAAUCUUCUUGUCGGCUCUUUAUUCUAUAUAAAUAAUUUUCUAAUUUUAAUUUUCUUAAAUUUAAAUCAUUAAAAAAUAAAAUUAUAGCAAUAAUAAUGUCCUUUAAACCUCAUUAGAGCCAUGAUUACACGUAGAAUGAACAAAGAUGAUAAUUCAACGGAUAUUUUUAUUCUAACUUCACUUGAAAUAAUGGUUGAAGUGGUUGCCUACCCUACUCAGCACCAAAAACAUGUCAUCUACCUAAUCAGUCACACCUUCUCCUAUACGCACAUUAAAACCAAUAUUAUUGAUUGUAAAGCAUUCCGUUGUCAAGAUUUAUGACCAUAGACCUAACCAUAAUACUCAAUAAAUUCGCCAACACCACCAUGACCAUGUUUCCUCAACAUUGGCGUUAGAGUCAAAACCAGAUUGGUUUCUGUUACACCGUCUCGAAAUUUCCCAGACAACAUGAAUCCAACGACACCGGGCCAUAGGCUGCUGAAUUUUGAAAAUUGAAAUUUUGUAUUGAAUUUCACUUCUAAGUUCUGGUUUUACAAAAGUUUAGGAUAAUGUCAAUAAUUUUGCAUGCUUCGACCGCUACUGCCCACAAUCAGUGCUCCAUGGACUAUACUAUAACAGGCUUUGCAUGCUUCAACCAUUACUACCUUUUUAGCCACAAUGAGAAGGCCAGCAUAUAUAAAAUUCAGCUCAAUUGAUGGACCUUUGGUCGAAAAUAGUUUAUCAUACCAAUUAAAAACGCAAUCAUAGGACAUAUAGUCUAUUAAAUCUAAAAUAUGGAUUUUUUUUCCCUUUCUUUUUUCUUCAUGUGCUAAUUUUUAUUUCUUGUAAAUAUUUUAAAUAAGUAUUAAUUUCUAUAAAUUCGUUUAAAUGUUUCGUGAAUCAUUUGGAUAAGCUACUAUAUUUAUAGUAAAGAUGAUGUUGCAAUUGCAAGGGAGGAGAUAUCUGGUCAUCAAAGCGUUGGCUUGGGAGAUGAGAUUGAGAAAGAGAGGAUGAGAAGAGAAAGAAGAAAGGAAGAAAAAGUGAAACAAGGGAAUAAAGAGCCUUUACGUUGGUCAAACCUGGUCCAAGACCAUCCAGAAUGCCCCAUAGUUCUGAAUUAUGAGAUUUUAUUGGUCUUAUUAAUCAUAUUAAUUUCAAUAUAUUCAUAGACUUAGUCUUAGCCUUUGACAUUGCAUGCAAAUGUCUAAAUCUUUCUGCAUGAAAACAAUGUUUACCAAACCAAUUCCAAUUCUUUGAAAAAAUUAAUUCCAAUUCCAAAAGGUUUUUUAUUUUUUUUAUUUCAAAAUUUAUCAAACCAAUUGAAACCAAUGAGAUUAAAGAAUAUAUAAUUAUUUAAAUCUAAAAUAUGAAAAAAAUUUAUUCGUGCAAAACACGGCUAAUUUUUAUUUUUUGUGGUCUCCACAAAUGGCCAGCUACCUGCACAAGGACACUGGCAAAUAACCGCCUGAAGCAGUACAUUCCUCGGCACAGCCAUGGCAACGCAGCUCUAUGAGGAGCACGUCCUCCUUCUCUCCAAGCUCCUAUAUAGGAGUAUCCAAUAAAAAUACGAAAGGAGGUUAGCACCGCCACCGCCAGAUUAGCCCAUAUGUUAAGAGAAUUCAUCAGUUAUCACGUCGUAAUCAAUGAAAUUCAUAAGCCCAAUAACAAGGGUGAUUCCAUUACCAUUUUUUUGUUAUUAAUUAGUAUUUUUCUUAGUAUUGUAGCAUACCAAUUCUUCCCUGCAUGGAAACUAGUUUAAUCCUCUGUUUCAUUGGAUCAAUUUCCCUACAAAGUAUGUGUACUUUGUAAUGAUAGUGUGACACAUUGUUGGCCUUUACUAGACUGUAAGACAUAAUUUCUUUCAUUAUCUUUUAAUUAUUACUAUCAUAUUAUUACAUACAAAGUUUAAUUGAAGGGUAUUUUUUUAAAGUAAUAAAACUAUCAUUGAAAGAAUAAAUAAACUAAUCCCAAUACCAAUUUAGAAUAGGAUUAUUGUAUUUAAAGCAGAAGUUCACAGUUGGGUAAACUAAAUCCUAAGAUAAUAAGAUCCAACCAUCCGCGUAUGAUAUAAACUACAUGUAAGAGAACGUCGAGUGCAACAUAUUGGUUUUGGGAUUAACCUUUUCACCAUAUGCUUCUCCUUUUCUCAACUUUUGUUCUGCCAAUCUGUGCUUUCUUCUCAGACUGUUGGCCUGAAAAUUAGAAUAUGAAGCUUCUCAUUUCACUUGCAAUUAUCUUGUUUUUCAUAUGCAUAACAUGGCUAAUUUUUAUUUCUUGUAAAUAAAUAUUUCAUUUCCGUAAAUUCGUUUAAAUGUUUCAUAAUGGGAGAAUCAUUUGAAAAAGCUACCAUAUUUAUAGUGUUUUAAUUAUUUGUCAACUCCGGAAAACAGACCAUAUUUUAAGAUAUCGUAUUUUUCAUUAUAUUUUAUUUACUUAUUUUUAAAGUAAUAAAACUGUUAUUAAAAGAUAAAUAAAUUAUUUGUACAAAACAAAUGUCAGACUGCACUAAAACCCGGACCAAUAGGUCUACCCAUUACACCCGAGCCUAAAGCCAAACAUGUGUUUGAUAAAAUGUAUAGCACAAAAACCCAAACAAAAAAAGACAAAAUUUAUCAUGCUUUGCGUGGUUUUCUACUUAAAAAUGAUUCAUUGCCACCAAUUACAUGCAAUGACUUGAAGCUUAGAAGGACAGAGGUCAUUUCCCUGUGACAAAAUAAGAAACGUACAAGUCAAACCACCAAGAAUAUAACUUCUCAUAAGCAUACAAAUAUGGGAAUAUUGCGUAGGAAAAACAAAAUCACUGUGUCACCACUCCUGCUGCUUAAAUUAAGGAAUUGCAAUGUUGUAUGAUCCAAAAUUAGUUUGUAACAUCAAUCUUUUCAAAAUAUAAAGACUAUAGUUUCAAAAGGAAAUGUUUACCUGUUGACUUUAAUACAUGAAUUCCGACCCAGUCACCUAGAUCUUCUUCUGUUUCUUUUCCCAUGUUUUUGAACUUGUCAACCCAUUUGUUUCCCAACUCAUUCAACACUGUAUAUCCGAUACAUAGCCCAGCGACCAAACCACUACCAUAACCUAUCAAAACAAUUUUCCAAGUUGACAAAGCAUAUAACCAUGACUGUUCCUCUUCCCCUGGAGGCGGUGGCACUGGAAGACCGUCUUCAUUGCAUUUCUUGGACAAUGGUUGACCGCAUAAUUUUGGAUUCCCACGAUAAGAAUCAUUUGAAAAUGUACUGAACUGGUUGCCUUGCGGUAUGCUCCCUUCAAGUGGGUUGUAAGACAAGUUCAGUGCCUCUAGGAAAGUUAGAGUUGUAAGCUGUGGAGGAAUCUUCCCUGAUAGCUCAUUCUGUGACAGAUCCAAAGACUCCAGAUCUUUUAGGUUUUGAACUGCUACUGGGAUUUCACCGGAGAAGCUAUUAUAGGACAAGUUUAGCACUUUGAGUGACCUCAGCAUUUUUAUUUCUUCUGGUAUUCUCCCAUGGAAACUAUUGCUGGAAAGGUCAAGACAAGUAAGAGUGGCUUGAAGGAAAUUAAUGGAUAGUUCACCAGAAAACUGGUUUGAAGCAAUGUCCAACACAUCCAAAUUUGGGAAAACAAAUUUAUGUUUGAAAUGUUUUAAUUUGACCAUAAAAUCUGUUUUCCCGCAAUAUUAGAACCGUCAAGUAAGGCAAUUUCUGCAACCAAAAAGGGAAUGUAUCAUUCAUCAUGUUGUUUCCCACGUCCAAAACUUCAAGCAGAGUGCAUUCCACUAAUGAUCUAGGCAACUUCCCUUCCAAUCUAUUCUCACUAACUUUGAGAAUAGAUAAUUGGGUUGCUUUUGAAAAUUUUGGUAACAUUCCACUGAAGUUAUUUCCUUGCAGAUCCAACAAAUAGAGAUCAUUCAUUUUGCCUAAGCAAUUUGGAAUCGUGCCGCUCAAAUUGUUAUGAGGUGCAUUGAAAACCUUAAUUUGACUCAAAUUGCAAAUAGGUCUAGUCGAGGAGGUUUGUGAAGAAGUUGAACUCUGAUUGGGUAAAAGUUGGUCCAAAGAUGAGAGAUGGUUAUUAGCAAGAUACAGAUACCGCAAACUUUUCUUCCACACCCAGUUUGGUAUUGCACCACUUAUUUUAUUAUUUGAAAGGUCGAGUUCUUCUAAAUUUUCUUGACUCUUUAAGAACUCCGGAAAUGCGCUUAUGUUACAAGAUUCCAGAUUCAAUCGCCUCAACAUUGGGAAAGAGAAGUUUGCAUCAUUUAGAGGAAGUUUUUUUGGGAAAAUCAAUCACAUUGAAAGAAAGGUGUAAGGAUGAAAGACUGCUCUUCCACAACCAAUUAGGCACAACACCAUGGAUAUGAUUGUUAGAAAGAUCUAAGUCAACCAACUUGUCUUGCCUUUUAAUGAAUUCUGGAAAUUCAGUAAGGUUGCAUGACCUUAGGCUUAGGCUCUCUAAUUGGGGAAAAGUAAGACUUCUGUUGUCGCUUUCAAUUAACAAGCUUACAUUUGGAUAAGUCGAGAUCCUUUAAGUUCUUAAGUUGGACAAAACAUGUCAAGCUUCAGGGAACUGAAGCUAUUUUCUCCGAUCUCAAGCACUUCAAGCCUUGGAAGUUGAAGGAUUGACUUUGGGAUUGGUCCUGUUAAAUAAUUAUUUCCUAUAUCUAAUUCUUGAAUCAAAGAAGAAGAUGCAUUGGGGAACUCAUCAAUUUUCCCAACCAAUUGAUUUUCUCCAAGAUACAAGGUCUUUAACGAUGGAAGAGUAAAUAAAGAAGAAUGUAUUGAAUCAGAAAGCCUGUUCCCUCCUAGAUAUAGGUUGACCAGGUGACUAAGAUUUUGCAAUUGACGAUGGAAUGGG